GAUGAACGCUAGCGGCAGGCCUAAUACAUGCAAGUCGAACGGGAUCAGGGAGCUUGCUCCCUGUGAGAGUGGCGCACGGGUGCGUAACACGUAUGCAACCUACCUUCAACUGGGGGAUAGCCUUCCGAAAGGAAGAUUAAUACCGCAUAACAUAAUUGAAUGGCAUCGUUUGAUUAUCAAACGUCAGGGUUGAAGAUGGGCAUGCGUCCGAUUAGCUAGUUGGUGUGGUAACGGCACACCAAGGCGACGAUCGGUAGGGGAUCUGAGAGGAUGACCCCCCACACUGGUACUGAGACACGGACCAGACUCCUACGGGAGGCAGCAGUAAGGAAUAUUGGUCAAUGGACGCAAGUCUGAACCAGCCAUGCCGUGUGCAGGAAGACGGUCCUCUGGAUUGUAAACUGCUUUUGUUAGGGAAGAAACCCUCGGAUGCGUCCGGGGCUGACGGUACCUAAAGAAUAAGGAUCGGCUAACUCCGUGCCAGCCGCCGCGGUAAUAC
rnacentral:rRNA from 1 species